rnacentral:rRNA from 1 species
UCUUGCGCAAUGGCCGAAAGGCUGACGCAGCGACGCCGCGUGUGGGAGGAAGCUUUUCGGAGUGUAAACCACUGUCGGGAGGGACGAAGGUCCAGGGGAGGCAAUGCCCUUGGGAUGACGGUACCUCCAGAGGAAGCGCCGGCUAACUCCGUGCCAGCAGCCGCGGUAAUACGGAGGGCGCGAGCGUUGUUCGGAAUUAUUGGGCGUAAAGCGCACGUAGGCGGCUCGAAAAGUCUCUUGUGAAAGCCCGGGGCUCAACCCCGGGAGGCCAGGGGAUACUGUCGGGCUGGAGACAGGCAGAGGCUGGUGGAAUUCCGGGUGUAGCGGUGGAAUGCGUAGAGAUCCGGAGGAACACCGGAGGCGAAGGCGGCCAGCUGGGCCUGAUCUGACGCUGAGGUGCGAAGGCGUGGGGAGCGAACAG